UGGCAUUUCGUUUGCGGCACGAUCUGGUC
rnacentral:piRNA from 1 species